UGGAAUGUAGCUCAGAGGUAGAGCUCAUACUUUGCAAGUAUGAAGCCAUAGGUUGUAUCCCUAGCAGUCAAA
rnacentral:tRNA from 1 species